GCAGAAAUUGCCCUCAAUCACAGAUCUAGGAUCAGCUGACUCUGUACUCAGUUCAACUGUAACUAGUAGGCUGGAUGUUAAAAUGUUAAACGGACCUCAACCCUGCUAGUGCACACGGUUUCAGCUCAGUCUUAACUGGCUCUCCCCCUCUGCUUACAACACAGCCAUGCAGAUAUGCUGUUGUGUUUUGUCUCAGAGGCUUGGUACAGUUUGUUCUGAUUGAGGGAAAGCUCAAGGUUUGGACUCCUGGGAAUUGGGUUUAUGGUGCAAAAGAAACGGUUGCAGAUAACGCUUCUGUCCAGCAUUGAUGACAUCAGAGAGGGACUUUGGGUCGGAGCUGCUGGCGUCAUCAUCCGCUCACUGUCAUACUCAGAGAAGAGGAGGUGCAGUCAGGAUCCAUAUCAGCGUUGCACAGGCUGUGUUUACCUGUAAACCUCUGGCCUGGUGGAAGGUGACACGUCGGAGAGCCAGAGAGCACGCGGGACAGCAUGAUGAGCAACGACAGAGAGAGGCAUGAUCAGAGAGCUGUUUGAGACUCAGAAAUCGAAAGUGGUUCUAUCUCUAUGCGCUGUGUGAACCGAUGGCAGAGAAUAAUGUCGACCAAUAACAUCUCCCAGGCCAGGAAGCUGGCGGAGCAGCUCCGCAUCGAGGCGCGGAUCGAACGCA